rnacentral:lncRNA from 1 species
GUGUCUGCUGUAGGGUUUUAGCUUAGCAUGGUUCUGCAGAGAAUAUUCCAAUUGCCUCCCUCUUUGUGCUUGGCUUCCUGUUGCAGACUAACAUCAGAACACACCUGGAUUCCUUCCAGAUGAACUAACCUGGACAAUACCUUCCUGCACACCACCUACAAACAUGUUUUCAACCCAUGGGACUGAACUAGAGCUAGCAGAAGCAGGAAGCUCCUAUAACAUAUAAGGGGCAGCUGACAGAUACUGGUACCACCUGUUUGUGGUGCUUGCUGAUGGAGGUGGCAGCUGAUGGCAUAUGGGUGGGCAGGCAGGAGGAAAAGCUUUUAGGGAUCCUUCAGAGCUGCAGUGACUUUUCUCUCCAGAAACUUUUUUUUUUUUUUCUCUUUUUAUUGAAGUGAAAUAUUUUCUUAGAGAAAUGAAGAGACUAUAUUAUAGAGAUGUCAGUACAGCAUACUGUUCCCUGGGUGAGCAUUCAUCUUCUUGGAGAAGGAACUUUGAUGUUCUGCUAGUCAAGUCGUUCAACUCAAACAGGAUGCACUCUUUCAGCUCAAGAUGCAGAAGAAGCAGAGUCCAGGCCUCAAGAAAUGUGACCGACACGGGCAUGAUUGAGUUUUUUCUUCUGCCAACACAACUGGCUGGGGCAUGUUCAGCUGGCGAUGGCAUAUGAGGAAGCUGCAGCAACCCAGUGCUGACAGCAAGUCCAUUUGAUCAGCCUUGGUUGGGUAGCUUUGCAGGUGGAAAGCAGAGCUGCAGCGAGGAGUGCCUGGACAGUGUCCCUAACAGCUUGGGCUUGCUUUAAUCUCUGAGGUGCCUACCGUGCACGAGGAAGUGGCCUGAAGCAACACUGUGCUCUUGAGGAAGCCCCUGUGGUGUACAGCAAUGAGCACAGCACCAGCUACCCGAAGCAGAGGAACUGCGGCACAGUACUCCUCCAGCCUUGCUUGGAGCAAUGCAGCAUGCAAUGGCACGUAAUUCUCAAACUGUUCUGUCAUCAGCUAACAGUGCUGUGAAAAUACCGGUGAGAUGGCAGCACAUGCAGACUGUAGUCAGUGGUGCUAAGGGGAGUGGAGUUAGUGAUUUCAAAGCUAGCAGGAUUUGAUGCCAUGACAUCUCCAAUUGCAAUGUAGACAAUUGUUCUAUUUCAACAUUUAAAUUUUCCCAGCAUCUAAAUGAGUUAAACUACAUGGUCUCACUAGCCAGAAAAAUUUGAAAGGGUCUCCUUUAAAGAAUGCUGAAUGUACUUGGGAAGCCUAAUUAAAAACCCCAAGUAAACACAAAUAAGCAAUGUUGAGCUUUUUUUUUUUUUUAUCCAAAUAGUAUUUUCUGAAGGACUUGUACAACCAUAUAUAUAUAUUUAGAAAAUUUAUCAGGCUAGACUGUGCGUAUAUUGCUAAAAUAUAAAUGUUAAAAAUGUUACCAUGGGAAAACACUUCCCAAAGGAAAAAAAGAGUCUCAGAGUACAAGAGCAAAACAUUUAAAAAGAAGUUUAUGACUGAUUGUUCGGUGUUCUGGAUAGGGAGAGACUAAAAGUACUAUCUUUGAUGCUGGGGAAAAUUCUGGAGAUGUUCUCUGCUGUUAGAGUCAUUAUGUACAAUCACAUUAAACACCAAUCCUACUGAUAAUGAAGGAUUCUGAAAGGAAAAGAUUUAGAGUUUUAACUACUCUGUAGGGGGCAGUUUUGAACCAGAUUAAUGAAAAUUUUACCCUGACUGAUCUGAAAUUAUGGUUCUAUAUUCAGUUUUAUUAUGCUCACCAGCUACAUGGGCAUAAUUUCUUCUUUUAGGUAGAUCUAGGCUAGUUAUGCUUUAGGGUAGCUGCAUAGUAUCACAUAACUUCACAUAGCUGAGAGAUUCUUCAGUCUGAAAAGUUCAACAAUGGUUGCUAACAAUACCUUUUUAAACCUACCAAUUAAAUAGAUUCAUAAUUGUAUAGCAGUGAUUAGAACUUCAUGGAGGAGGACUGCAAUCCUGGGAAAAAAAAAAAAAAAAAGAGAGAGGUUUCUUGGAGAUGUUAGUAUUGGUUGUAGCAUUUCAAAACACACAAAGAAACAAAGAAACAAACAAAAAACAACAACAACCAAACCUUGAAACUUUAAACAUGGUACUAGUAUUAUCUAAGUUUAUUUUAAAUUGAUACUGUGGUAGAAUAUGGAAAAGGUAUUAGUAUGCAUAAGGAUGUUAGCUUAAAGAUUUAAAUUAGCUUCUGUCCAGGAGCACACCACAUUGAAAUAUGAAAACCAGGAGUGGAUUAUACAUGUAGCUGUAUUUCAUCUGAAAGCCAAAAGAAAGACAUCCUGGCAACACGGGGACAGUCAUUGCUACAAGGAUUAUAGUUCUGGAUAACAAGCUGAAGUGAAGGAAAGGCUCAGUCACCAAGUCUUUUUCCACUUGGAAAGGAAGGAGCUUACAGAUCUAGAGCUUACAGUUGUGACUUCUGCAGCUGGUAGCAGAGAAUCUCUAGUACAGUCAACGUCUCUGCACUGACUGUCAUUACUUGGCUUUGAAUGCACUUACUUAAGUCCAUUCUAGAGUGUCACUCACAGCUAAAGCUGCUAGUUAGUUGAUAUUAUAACCAGCUAAUAAUGUAGAGUAGUUGGAUUCACUCUGAACACUGCAAGAAACUAAAACGGUUUUCCAAUGUCAAUUUCCCAAUAUCAAUGUCAAUUUCCCAAUGUCAAAACUGAAAAUGAAUGCCUGACAGAUGACCAGACUCAGUAGCUCCACUACUUAAAGCUUGAAACUGACUGUGCUGCCUGAAAUGUAGCUGGGGUAUCCUGUUUGUCUUUCCCAGGCCUAAAAGCUUUCCUUAGUCUUUUUGGGUACAAUUCCUCUCUCCCCCCCGCCCCCCCCCCCCCACCCCGCAAUGUUUAUAAUUGUUAUACUGGGUCUCGCUGGGAUGGAAUUAGUUUUUGUCAUAACAGCCCUAUGUUGCUGUGUUUUGUGAUUAAAACAGCAUUGAUAACGCACCAAUGUUUUGACUACUGCUGAACAGCACCUGCUCAACAUCAAGGCUUUUGCUUUUCCCACUCUGCCCCCUCAGUGAGUCGGCUGGGGCAGGGAAGAAGUUAGAGGCAACAGAAUUGGAGCAGCUGACCUGAACUGGCCAAAACAUUGCUCUAUACUGCAUAACAUCAUGCUUGGCAAUAAAACUGGGGUAGAAGAAGAAGGUUGGGAGGCU